rnacentral:rRNA from 1 species
AUUGAACGCUGGCGGCAGGCCUAACACAUGCAAGUCGAGCGAGCGGCGGACGGGUGAGUAAUGUAUGGGAACUGCCCGAAAGAGGGGGAUACCUAUUGGAAACGGUGGCUAAUACCGCAUACUAUCGGAGAACCAAUAGGGGAUUAGCUAGUAGGUGGGGUAAAGGCUCACCUAGGCGACGAUCUCUAGCUGGUCUGAGAGGAUGAUCAGCCACAAUGGGACUGGGACACGGCCCAGAAUCCAACGGAGGCAGCAGUGGGGAAUAUUGCCAAAUGGGCGCAAGCCUGAUGCAGCCAUGCCGCGUUGAUGAAGAAGGCCUUAGGGUUGUAAAGUACUUUCAGCGGGGAGUCGUUACCCGCAGAAGAAGCACCGGCUAACUCCGUGCCAGCAGCCGCGGUAAUAC